AGAGUUUGAUCCUGGCUCAGGACGAACGCUGGCGGCAUGCUUAACACAUGCAAGUCUAGGGGCACUUCGGUGUCACUGGCGCACGGGUGAGUAACACGUAGGUUAUCUGCCCCUAUCACAGACACAACCCCGGGAAACCGGGGCUAAUAUCUGAUGAGGUCCACGGAUCAAAGCUUCGGCGGAUAGGGAUGAGCCUGCGGCUGAUUAGCUAGUUGGUGGGGUAAUGGCCCACCAAGGCGACGAUCAGUAGCUGGUCUGAGAGGACGAACAGCCACACUGGAACUGAGACACGGUCCAGACUCCUACGGGAGGCAGCAGUGAGGAAUAUUGGUCAAUGGGCGCAAGCCUGAACCAGCAAUGCCGCGUGUGGGAUGACGGCGCUUUGCGUUGUAAACCACUGUCGGACGGGACGAAAGGGAGCCUUUGGCUCCUGGGACGGUACCGUCAAAGGAAGGGUCGGCUAACUACGUGCCAGCAGCCGCGGUAAUACGUAGGACCCAAGCGUUGUCCGGAUUCACUGGGUAUAAAGGGUGCGUAGGCGGUCUUGUGCGUCAGAGGUGAAAUCUCCGGGCUUAACCCGGAGGGUGCCUUUGAUACGGCAGGACUUGAGUGCAGGAGAGGAUGAUGGAAUUCCUGGUGUAGCGGUGAAAUGCGUAGAUAU
rnacentral:rRNA from 1 species